rnacentral:rRNA from 1 species
CAGCCGCCACGGUAAUACAGAGGAUGCAAGCGUUAUCCGGAAUGAUUGGGCGUAAAGCGUCUGUAGGUGGCUUUUCAAGUCCGCCGUCAAAUCCCAGGGCUCAACCCUGGACAGGCGGUGGAAACUACCAAGCUGGAGUACGGUAGGGGUAGAGGGAAUUUCCGGUGGAGCGGUGAAAUGCGUUGAGAUCGAAAAGAACACCAACGGUGAAAACACUCUGCUGGGCCGACACUGACACUGAAGACGAAAGCUAGGGGAGAAAAUGGGAUUAGAUACCCCCGUAGUCCCUGUCUCUUAUACA